GAAUAGCUCAGCUGGUAGAGCAUCACGUUGCCAACGUGAAUGUCGCGAGUUCGAAUCUCGUUUC
rnacentral:tRNA from 1 species